rnacentral:tRNA from 1 species
GCCGUGGUGGCGGAAUUGGCAGACGCGCAGCGUUCAGGACGCUGUGAGCAUUACGCUCGUGCAGGUUCAAGUCCUGUCCUCGGCA